AAAACAAAAGACGAGUUAAUCACCGACUUUAUUAUUUUAUUGUAUCAGAUGUAACGUUACAGACUCUUCUUUAGCGUGCUGAACGUUAGUUGCAUAAUGUCUGACUCUUCUGUGAUCACAACAUGAAGCCUUUAAAUGUUAAUGCCAAUUUUACACGACUCGUCACUUAUAAACACAGAGAAUGCGUCCUUUAAAUUACAUUAACAAUAUGAUGAAUUUCCAUGAAUCGUAGAACAACAGUGGCCCGAAAAAAAUAAAGUUCUGCAUUAAUAAAUGCAUUAUGCAAACAUUAUAGUUGUCUUAGUCUUAUGCAACAACAAAAUUUAAUACUGUAUAAUUUCACCUUCGUAAGCAUGUAUGCCGGGUUUGCAGUUGAUUAAUUUUAAUGUAGAUAUCCGUGUAUUUUCCAGUCUGUUGUAUUUUCAAAUGUUGACGUCGCGCGGAGAUGACGUCAGAUUGUGAUCCCCACUGGCCGCUCGACCGCACGUCAACGUCGCUGCCAUAUUGGAGCGGGCAACUCUCAUAACUCUCACAUCAGGAAAGAAGAAAAUCUUACCUGACUAAUCGACAGAUUGGACACCUACAAACCGUCACACGAUAAUAAAAACAGAUCUCGGGGUGUUAUCUUUCAGAGUCAUUUGCAAACAGGACAAGGACAGCCUAAAGGAAAGCUGAGGAAACCUGUUCUCAGAGACAAGACUAUACCUCCCUAGACUAGUGUUGUGUUUGUACUAAACACAGAGCAGCCCUGAAUGAAUCGACAGAAUGACCCAGCUCAUAUUCUAAAGCGAUUAAAAAACUGCCAAAGUUAAUGCUUCUCGAUUUAAGGAUGUUCAGAUAUUUGAGCUGGAAAACAAGAGUAAGAGCAUCAUUCUCUGUGGUGAAGAAGAACACCAUGACCUUCAUCAAAUUAAAAUCUCUCGUGUUUGUGUCUGAGUCGAACGGUGACAGGUAAAAGAAAAGAGUUAAAAAGAAACCCUGGACAAUCUUCCUAAAACAUACGUCUGCAGGAACCUUGAUGAUUAUAAAUAUGCUUUAUCUUUAUCACAGUAUAAUUUAAUCAAACCUCGUGUUUUCAACUCCAUAUUUAUACUGAAAAUAAAAGUAGCUGUGAUCUUAUUCUAGUUAACGGCUCUGAAAUUGAGUGACAGCUGAUUGGUUGAUUCACAAAUGUCUUCACACACAAACUGCUUCAUAUUCAAGAUAUGAUAUCAAGAUUCAUAUUUAGAUUAACACUCAUAUAACUGUAUUGUCUGUGUGAGAGGAAUCAAACAAUCAAAUCCUGCGAUCGUUUACUCUUCCUCAGC